rnacentral:rRNA from 1 species
UUAAGACUGAGACACGAGACGAGUCACUACGGUGAUGAAGUUGUUGAUGCCAUACUUCCAGGAAAAGCCUCUAAGCUUCAGAUUAUAUGGAAUCGUACCCCAAACCGACACAGGUGGUCAGGUAGAGAAUACUAAGGCGCUUGAGAGAACUCGGGUGAAGGAACUAGGCAAAAUCGUACCGUAACUUCGGGAGAAGGUACGCUCCUAUCUGUGAUGAGACUUGCUCUCUAAGCGGACGGGAGCCGCAGUGACCAGGUGGCUGGGACUGUUUAUUAAAAACACAGCACUGUGCAAAAUCGCAAGAUGACGUAUACGGUGUGACACCUGCCCGGUGCCGGAAGGUUAAUUGAUGGGGUUAUCCUUAGGGAGAAGCUCUUGAUCGAAGCCCCGGUAAACGGCGGCCGUAACUAUAACGGUCCUAAGGUAGCGAAAUUCCUUGUCGGGUAAGUUCCGACCUGCACGAAUGGUGUAACCAUGGCCACGCUGUCUCCACCCGAGACUCAGUGAAAUUGAAAUCGCAGUGAAGAUGCUGUGUACCCGCGGCUAGACGGAAAGACCCCGUGAACCUUUACUACAGCUUGGCACUGAACAUUGAACCUACAUGUGUAGGAUAGGUGGGAGACUUUGAAGCAGCGACGCUAGUUGUUGUGGAGUCAACCUUGAAAUACCACCCUUGUAGUUUUGAUGUUCUAACGUUGGCCCCUGAAUCGGGGUUACGGACAGUGCCUGGUGGGUAGUUUGACUGGGGCGGUCUCCUCCUAAAGAGUAACGGAGGAGCACGAAGGUUGGCUAAGUACGGUCGGACAUCGUACGGUUAGUGUAAUGGUAGAAGCCAGCUUAACUGCGAGACAGACACGUCGAGCAGGUACGAAAGUAGGUCAUAGUGAUCCGGUGGUUCUGAAUGGAAGGGCCAUCGCUCAACGGAUAAAAGGUACUCCGGGGAUAACAGGCUGAUACCGCCCAAGAGUUCAUAUCGACGGCGGUGUUUGGCACCUCGAUGUCGGCUCAUCACAUCCUGGGGCUGAAGUCGGUCCCAAGGGUAUGGCUGUUCGCCAUUUAAAGUGGUACGCGAGCUGGGUUUAGAACGUCGUGAGACAGUUCGGUCCCUAUCUGCCGUGGGCGUUUGAGAAUUGAGAGGGGUUGCUCCUAGUACGAGAGGACCGGAGUGAACGAACCGCUGGUGUUCGGGUUGUCAUGCCAAUGGCAUUGCCCGGUAGCUACGUUCGGAACUGAUAAGCGCUGAAAGCAUCUAAGCGCGAAGCAGGCCUCGAGAUGAGUUCUCACUAGACUUUUAAAGUCUCUGAAGGGCCGUUGAAGACUACAACGUUGAUAGGCAAGAUGUGGAAGUGGUGUGAGCCAUUAAGCUAACUUGUACUAAUUACCCGUGAGGCUUAACCAU